rnacentral:rRNA from 1 species
AGUAGGGAUCUUCCACAAUGGACGAAAGUCUGAUGGAGCAACGCCGCGUGAGUGAAGAAGGUUUUCGGAUCGUAAAACUCUGUUGUUGGAGAAGAAUGUAUCUGAUAGUAACUGAUCAGGUAGUGACGGUAUCCAACCAGAAAGCCACGGCUAACUACGUGCCAGCAGCCGCGGUAAUACGUAGGUGGCAAGCGUUGUCCGGAUUUAUUGGGCGUAAAGCGAGCGCAGGCGGUUUCUUAAGUCUGAUGUGAAAGCCUUCGGCUCAACCGAAGAAGUGCAUCGGAAACUGGGAAACUUGAGUGCAGAAGAGGACAGUGGAACUCCAUGUGUAGCGGUGAAAUGCGUAGAUAUAUGGAAGAACACCAGUGGCGAAGGCGGCUGUCUGGUCUGUAACUGACGCUGAGGCUCGAAAGCAUGGGUAGCAAACAGGAUUAGAUACCCUGGUAGUCCAUGCCGUAAACGAUGAGUGCUAGGUGUUGGAGGGUUUCCGCCCUUCAGUGCCGCAGCUAACGCAUUAAGCACUCCGCCUGGGGAGUACGACCGCAAGGUUGAAACUCAAAGGAAUUGACGGGGCCCCUC